rnacentral:rRNA from 1 species
UACAGGAGGGGGCAAGCGUUGUUCGGAAUUACUGGGCGUAAAGGGCGCGUAGGCGGCCUGCUAAGUCGAACGUGAAAUCCCUGGGCUCAACCCAGGAACUGCGUCCGAUACUGGUUGGCUUGAAUCCGGGAGAGGGAUGUGGAAUUCCAGGUGUAGCGGUGAAAUGCGUAGAUAUCAGGAGGAACAUCGGUGGCGAAGGCGGGUUGCUGGGCCGACACUGACGCUGAUGCGCGAAAGCCAGGGGAGCGAACGGG